rnacentral:tRNA from 2 species
GGGCCGUUAGUUCAGUGGGAGAAUGCUUCCUCGACAAGGAAGAGGUCACUGGUUCGAACCCAGUACGGCCCA